AUGGUGGAAAGGAGAGAGAGGGAGUGGUGGAGAGGAGAGAGAGAGAGAGGGAGUGGUGGAGAGGAGAGAGAGGGAGUGGUGGAGAGGAGAGAGAGAGUGGUGGAGAGGAGAGAGAGAGUGGUGGAGAGAAGAGAGAGUGAGUGGUGGAGAGGAGAGAGGGAGUGGUGGAGAGGAGAGAGGGAGUGGUGGAGAGGAGAGAGAGAGUGGUGGAGAGGAGAGAGAGGGAGUGGUGGAGAGGAGAGAGAGGGAGUGGUGGAGAGGAGAGAGAGGGAGUGGUGGAGAGGAGAGAGGGAGUGGUGGAGAGUAGAGAGAGAGAGAGAGAGAGAGAGAGAGGUGGAGAGGAGAGAGAGGAGAGUGGUGGAGAGGAGAGAGAGGGAGUGGUGGAGAGGAGAGAGAGAGAGAGAGAGAGGUGGAGAGGAGAGAGAGGAGAGUGGUGGAGAGGAGAGAGAGGGAGUGGUGGAGAGGAGAGAGAGGGAGUGGUGGAGAGGAGAGAGAGGGAGUGGUGGAGAGGAGAGAGGGAGUAGUGGAGAGGAGAGAGAGAGAGAGAGUGGUGGAGAGGAGCGAGAGAGAGAGGGAGUGGUGGAGAGGAGAGAGAGGGAGUGGUGGAGAGGAGAGAGGGAGUGGUGGAGAGGACAGAGAGAGAGAGAGUGGUGGAGAGGAGAGAGAGAGUGGUGGAGAGGAGAGAGGGAGUGGUGGAGAGGAGAGAGAGAGUGGUGGAGAGGAGAGAGGGAGAGUGGUGGAGAAGAGAGAGAGAGUGGUGGAGAGGAGAGAGAGGGAGUGGUGGAGAGGAGAGAGAGGGAGUGGUGGAGAGGAGAGAGGGAGUGGUGGAGAGGAGAGAGAGGGAGUGGUGGAGAGGAGAGAGAGAGAGAGAGAGAGUGGUGGAGAGGAGAGAGAGAGAGAGAGAGAGGGAGUGGUGGAGAGGAGAGAGAGGGAGUGGUGGAGAGGAGAGAGGGAGUGGUGGAGAGGAGAGAGGGAGUGGUGGAGAGGAGAGAGGGAGUGGUGGAGAGGACAGAGAGAGAGAGUGGUGGAGAGGAGAGAGGGAGUGGAGGAGAGAGAGAUUGGUGGAGAGGAGAGAGUGAGAGUGGUGGAGAGGAGAGAGAGAGAGAGUGGUGGAGAGGAGAGAGGGAGUGGUAG
rnacentral:lncRNA from 1 species